AGAGGAGCCUUCUGGUUGUGUUUAGAAGUGUUUGUAGCACCUUAUAAAAGUGCUCACUGCAUCCUCCUGGGGCAAGUUUAGAUGCUGCGUGGUGGUUAGGUGGAGGGUGGUGUGGAGCUGAAGGCACUGCACACAGGAAGGGAGGGGAUGCAGCCCAGGGGAGCACAGGAGAUGCUGGCCGGGCUGUGGUUGAAGCCACCUGGGCAACUGAAGCCAGGAAAGAGAGCCGUGGAUUGCGAGUUUAUGAAUUUAAGGCCUCAACAGCUCAACAAGAAAACACCUGCAAAGAGCUGAAAGCAAGUGGAUGGCCUGUGAAAGGCUGGCACUGGAGCUGCCAUGAGAUGGCACUGCGACAUCAGGCAUGGAACUGAGCCGCUCCAUCCCACCGGGGUGUGCGGGGAAGUACCUUCCUGGAGGGAGAAAAAAAGCCAAGGAAGAGAAAGGACUUAUCUGCUUUCCUGCCUCUGCCACAUGCGGACAUUGAAACGACAUUAACAGCCAACCCCCAAAGUAAACCAUUUUUAAGAGAGCAUAUUUUUUGCUGGUUAUAUCUUGAGCUCUUGAGUUCAAGUUUCCCAGCUUUUUCUCCAUGAUUCCAAGGAUGCAUCAGGCUCUCUCUGCACUGAAGAUGCCCCAGGGCAGUGAGCUGUGGUCCAGGUGCCCCCCUUCUUGGAACUGGUCAGGCACUGCCAAAAGGAUAGGCGUGAGCCAUUUGGAGAGCCUGUCCCCUGGCCGAUUGGAGCAGGGAGAAGUGAAAUGAAUGAUUAAAGAAAUGCGGUGGCCACUGCCCCCCCCCCCCCCCCCCAACAGUAUUUUCAAAGCACUGAAACGUCCUAUUUCAGAUUUGAUAUCUGCUAUCAAUUGAGAUUGAAGGUAUUGAUCCAGGCUGAUUGCUGGGGAUAAUCAGUAAGUGGAAGGGUAAUUGACUGUCAUGUCUCUCAUUGAUUGGGCACCACAGCUCACAGCAGCCAACAUUAUUUUCAAGCACUUUGCAGCAUCUCCUUUAAUAAAUACAAACUUCAAGAGUGAUUUAUGUGUGCUGCCAUUUAAAGGGUGGGUGAGAGCACCACCCAACAUGUGCUUACCUUUAACAAACUGAAGGGUGU